rnacentral:rRNA from 1 species
CAGUAGUCACGUAGUUUGAUCCGUGGCUCAGAACGAACGCUGGCGGCAUGCCUAACACAUGCAAGUCGAACGAACCCUUCGGGGUUAGUGGCGCACGGGUGCGUAACGCGUGGGAACCUACCAUCAGGUUCGGAAUAACAGUUAGAAAUGACUGCUAAUACCGGAUAAUGUCUUCGGACCAAAGAUUUAUCGCCUUUUGAUGGGCCCGCGUAAGAUUAGGUAGUUGGUGGGGUAAAAGCCUACCAAGCCGACGAUCUUUAGCUGGUCUGAGAGGAUGAUCAGCCACACUGGGACUGAGACACGGCCCAGACUCCUACGGGAGGCAGCAGUGGGGAAUAUUGGACAAUGGGCGAAAGCCUGAUCCAGCAAUGCCGCGUGAGUGAUGAAGGCCUUAGGGUUGUAAAGCUCUUUUACCAGGGAUGAUAAUGACAGUACCUGGAGAAUAAGCUCCGGCUAACUCCGUG